rnacentral:rRNA from 1 species
AACGCUGGCGGCGUGGCUAAAACAUGCAAGUCGUACGGAAAGGUUGUUUUUGAUCCUUCGGGUGACGAAACGAUACUCGAGUGGCGAAAGGGCGAGGAAUACAUGGGCAACGUGCCUUAUGCACGAGGAUAACUGCGGGAAGCUGCAGUUAAUACUCGAUAAGACCACGGCACCUUCGGGUGCAGGGGUCAAACGGUGGGGACCUUCGGGCCUACCGGCAUUUGAGCGACCCAUGUCCUAUCAGCUUGUUGGUGAGGUAACGGCUCACCAAGGCGACGACGGGUACCGGGACUGAGAGGUUGACCCGGCGCAUCGGGACUGAGACACUGCCCGGACUCCUACGGGAGGCUGCAGUAACGAAUAUUCCGCAAUGGGCGAAAGCCUGACGGAGCGACGCCGCGUGUGGGAGGAAGCCCUUCGGGGUGUAAACCACUGUCAGGGAUUACCAAGCAAAGUUGGCGAAUAGCCUUCUGCGUUGAGGAGUCCCAGAGGAAGCCACGGCUAACUUCGUGCCAGCAGCCGCGGUAAUACGAAGGUGGCGAGCGUUGUUCGGAAUCACUGGGCUUAAAGGGCACGCAGGCGGACUGUAAAGCGUCUUGUGAAAGCCCCCGGCUUAACCGGGGAAUUGCUAGGCGAACUGGCAGUCUUGAGGCAGGUAAGGGCGAGUAGAACUCUUGGUGGAGCGGUGGAAUGCGUAGAUAUCAAGAGGAACGCCGGAGGCGAAAGCGACUCGCUGGGCCUGACCUGACGCUGAGGUGCGAAAGCCAGGGUAGCGAACGGGAUUAGAUACCCCGGUAGUCCUGGCCAUAAACGAUGUCCACUAG